rnacentral:lncRNA from 1 species
AGCCAGCCACCGCACCCAGCCUAAAUGCUUGAUUCAUUUCAACAAAUACUUGUUUGGCACCUCUGUUAAAAGGCCCUGAUAUAGGACAUUUAACUCCACAAUGCAGUAAACUCUGAAAAUAAGUAAAUAGACAAUUAAAAAUCAAAAACUUAAUUUAAGAAAUAACCAAAUCAUUCCAAACCAAAACUAUUUAUUUUACUAAAGGAAUUGCCACAGUAUUUUAAAAGGCGAACUUAUCUAAUGCUGUUAGUUUUAUUUAUGAUGACAUAACGUAAACAACUUUUUACAAAUGCCUUCACUAGGACUACAUUGACAUAUACUUGCUUUACAUAUGUAACAUUUUUCCAAAAGCAGCUUGAAAAUUGUCAACUGCAUCUCUCCAAACUAUAGAUAAUCCUUAACUUAUGAAGGUAUUAUGUCCCAAUAAAACUAUCAUUAAAUUGUAAACAUCAUAAGUCAACAAUGCAUUUAAUAUACCUAACCUACCAAACUGACUGAGAGCUGCAGCUCACUACUGCUGCACAACAUCGCAACAGAGUAUUUUGCUGCAUAUAUGGCUACCCUGGAAAAAGAUCCAAAUUCACAGGAUGGUUUCUUUCCCAAAGUAGCUGGGACUACAGGCACAUGCCAGCAGGGCCAGUUAAAUUUUUAAUUUUAAUUUUUGUAGCAACAUAGGGUCUUGCUAUGUUGUCCAGGCUCACAGUACAGUUUCUAAUGAAUGUGUACCACUUUACCACAUGGUAAAUUUAAAAAAUUGUAAGUUGGGGACCAUCUGUACUUUUUUUCUGCUGUCAUGAUUUUAUUUUCAUGCUACAAAAGUACAUUCACAUCAAUAUUUCCUUCUUUGAACUUUUUUCUUUACCUGCCUAAUUCUGUUUGUCCCUCAAGAUUUAUCUUAGAUGGCACCAUCUCCAGGAAGCCUUCCCUGAUUUCCCAGAUUAAAGGAGUUGCUCCUUCUCUGGGCUCCCCAAUCCACUGUGCAUAUGAUUACCCAGGUAAUUCCCACACUCUACUUAAAUCAAUGCUUUCUGUGUUUAUUUUCCUAAUUAGACCAUGAGCUCCUUAAAAGCCCAGGCUUCAUCUUUCAGCUCUGUAUCUGCAGGACAAUGGUACACAGUCAAUGGCCAAUAAAUGUUGGUGAAGAGAGGAAGAGAGAGAGAAUAAAAUAAAUUUUAUGUCUAUUUUCUCCAUCAAUUCUCUUCUCCUUCAUCCUCAUUUCAUGUUUUCCUAUUAUUUCUCCCCAAACACUAAUACAUCAUCUUUAUCCCUCUCUUCCUAGUUUCAAUUCACAACUUGCAAUAUCUCUCUUGGGGUCCUAACUAUUGCAAAAAUGCUGAUCUGGUGUGUGAGUAGCACAGGUUUAAGAGUUUGUUGCUCCUUAGCAUUGCAAAGAAGGGGAUUGUUUUAUCUGGCGCUGGAUUAGUCUCCAUUAUAUCUCCUCUUCUGUUUUAGCUAGGGAUUUUUAACAUGAUUGAGUUUUACCUAGUUUUCAAUGUUAGCAGCUGGGUAAACAUACUUUCUGCAACACCCUGGAUAAAAUGGCAAACUCCAGGGGAAAGUCUUCUACCUUUAGAUUAAUAAAAAAGACUUGCUCACAGCCCUGGUUGGGGAAUAGUAACACUUGAGAGCAUUUGAGGGGAAUCGUGUGUGCUGGCUGUGGAAAACGCAGCUGAUGACCAAAACAGGCAGCUGCCGUCCUGAGUGAGGCUGAUCGCCCUCAGAGAGUAGCUUCAAACUGUACUUAGCAAGAAUAACAGAGAACUGAGGUCAUCACUAUUUGAACUACCGUGGAGGAAGAGAGACGUGCUAGAAGAGACUUGGAGAACUGCAACUCAUAAGAAGGUACCAAAAAAUGUCAGCGCACUAGCAGAAGAGAGCACAAAAGCUAGCCUGCAAGCAGCCAAGGGCUCUAUCUGUGGUCUGUGUUUUAACGGCAGUACCAAUGAUGAUGUGACCUCCUUAUGAAAUUUCCUCUCCUAGGACUACCCACGCCUGCCCCGUCUCUUCCUUGCAGGUCGAUUCCUUACUUAUUGUUAAGUCUGAAUAAAAAUAUAACAAACUUAUAGAUACCAAAA